UCUGGUGUCUGCCAUACUUCAUGUCUCCAGGGUUUGAGAGCUCUUGGUUGCCAUGGAAAAAUAUUGGAACUUUCUAUAUCACAAUGCAAAAACUUCAGUGACAAUGGGAUUCAGAAGUCAAUGGCAGAAUGACUUCACUUCUAAUGAAAGGUACCUGGAGAACUGAAGUGUGGGAAGUGGACCAAAGGAUUGGUGUACAAGCAUUGUAAUUGAGCUCUGCAAGGGCACAGAAUUCCUGGAACACUGCCUUGUCUCUUACUGCCCUCAGCUGACAGAUGGAGCUGUGAAAACAACGGCAUUUCACUGCCACAGACUGACAUCUCUCAACACAGGAGGCUGCCCAAAGGUAUGCACAAGAAAUAGGGUGAUAGUUCUGGGAUUGCUGUUGUAAAGAAUUACUUACUAUUUCAUCCAGAGAUUUGACCUGCUGGCAUCAUUCAGCUGCUUUUCUGGGAAUUUUAAGAUUUGAGACUUGGCACUUGGGAGUAUUUGGUAUUCUUCUAAUGUUGCAGUUAUGAGUUUAAAGGUGUCCACAUUGUAUCAGGUAAAAGUUUUUCUGUCCAGGAGUUGAUGUCUAAACAAGGGUGAAGAGAGAAGAGCUUUCACA
rnacentral:lncRNA from 1 species